UUCAGGUCUGAGACAGAAAAGAGAGACCUCUCUGGGGACACAGACUUGGGAGCUGGAAGCUUGUAGAUGGAAUGUGUGAGACCACCCAAGGACGGGGACACUGUGGGAUGAGCAGAAGACCUAGCACAGAAUUCCCAGCAACACCAACAUUAAGAGGCAGCAGAAAUUAGAAAAGUCACUCGGGAGACAGGAAAAGAUGGAGAAAACCAACAGUCUUGGGGCCAUGGAGGCUGAGGGAAGAUGCCCUUGGCAAAUGCUGCAGAGAGGUCCUCCAAGAGUGAAACAUUCCUUCAUCUGUCCCUGAUCCAAAACUUAUAUAUACUUGAAAGAACGUAUCAGGUUGGCAAAUAAUGUUUUUCAAUUUGUUUUCCAAUAUCUGGAUUGGCUGGGAUUUGGCCUUAAAGACUUGGCUGACCUUCCUAGACGACCGGGUGACAGAUUCUUCCAGAAAUGCAACUAGAAUGAGCACAGAGCAAAGUUAGAGAAGAUGUAACCGUGGAAGAAUGACCAGAGAAAUGCAACCUUGAUGGCACUGAAGAUAAAAAUGGCAGUGAACCAGGGCCUCUAGGAGCUGGAAACAAUAAGGAAAUGGAUUCUUCCCUAGAGCCUCCGGAAGGGAGCACAGCGCUGACAACACUGUGAGGUUAGCCCCUGGAGAACCAGGUCACCCUACUAACCUACAGGACUGCAAGGGUCCAGGCUGACCAAGGAGCACCUAUCUAGGACGUGCCAUUGUGACAGAUUAAAAAGAGAGAUGGUGGAACCA